rnacentral:rRNA from 1 species
GACGAACGCUGGCGGCGUGCUUAACACAUGCAAGUCGAACGGAAAGGCCCUGCUUUUGUGGGGUGCUCGAGUGGCGAACGGGUGAGUAACACGUGAGUAACCUGCCCUUGACUUUGGGAUAACUUCAGGAAACUGGGGCUAAUACCGGAUAGGAGCUCCUGCUGCAUGGUGGGGGUUGGAAAGUUUCGGCGGUUGGGGAUGGACUCGCGGCUUAUCAGCUUGUUGGUGGGGUAGUGGCUUACCAAGGCUUUGACGGGUAGCCGGCCUGAGAGGGUGACCGGCCACAUUGGGACUGAGAUACGGCCCAGACUCCUACGGGAGGCAGCAGUGGGGAAUAUUGCGCAAUGGGCGGAAGCCUGAUGCAGCAACGCCGCGUGCGGGAUGACGGCCUUCGGGUUGUAAACCGCUUUCGCCUGUGACGAAGCGUGAGUGACGGUAAUGGGUAAAGAAGCACCGGCUAACUACGUGCCAGCAGCCGCGGUGAUACGUAGGGUGCGAGCGUUGUCCGGAUUUAUUGGGCGUAAAGGGCUCGUAGGUGGUUGAUCGCGUCGGAAGUGUAAUCUUGGGGCUUAACCCUGAGCGUGCUUUCGAUACGGGUUGACUUGAGGAAGGUAGGGGAGAAUGGAAUUCCUGGUGGAGCGGUGGAAUGCGCAGAUAUCAGGAGGAACACCAGUGGCGAAGGCGGUUCUCUGGGCCUUUCCUGACGCUGAGGAGCGAAAGCGUGGGGAGCGAACAGGCUUAGAUACCCUGGUAGUCCACGCUGUAAACGGUGGGUACUAGGUGUGGGGUCCAUUCCACGGGUUCCGUGCCGUAGCUAACGCUUUAAGUACCCCGCCUGGGGAGUACGGCCGCAAGGCUAAAACUCAAAGGAAUUGACGGGGCCCCGCACAAGCGGCGGAGCAUGCGGAUUAAUUCGAUGCAACGCGUAGAACCUUACCUGGGUUUGACAUGGAUCGGGAGCGCUCAGAGAUGGGUGUGCCUCUUUUGGGGUCGGUUCACAGGUGGUGCAUGGCUGUCGUCAGCUCGUGUCGUGAGAUGUUGGGUUAAGUCCCGCAACGAGCGCAACCCUUGUUCACUGUUGCCAGCACGUUAUGGUGGGGACUCAGUGGAGACCGCCGGGGUCAACUCGGAGGAAGGUGGGGAUGACGUCAAGUCAUCAUGCCCCUUAUGUCCAGGGCUUCACGCAUGCUACAAUGGCUGGUACAGAGAGUGGCGAGCCUGUGAGGGUGAGCGAAUCUCGGAAAGCCGGUCUCAGUUCGGAUUGGGGUCUGCAACUCGACCUCAUGAAGUCGGAGUCGCUAGUAAUCGCAGAUCAGCAACGCUGCGGUGAAUACGUUCCCGGGGCUUGUACACACCGCCCGUCAAGUCAUGAAAGUUGGUAACACCCGAAGCCGGUGGCCUAACCGUUGUGGGGGAGCCGUCGAAGGUGGGACUGGUGAUUAGGACU